rnacentral:rRNA from 1 species
AGAGUUUGAUCCUGGCUCAGAAUCAACGCUGGCGGCGUGCCUAACACAUGCAAGUCGAACGAGAAAGUGGAGCAAUCCAUGAGUUAAGUGGCGUACGGGUGAGUAACACGUGACUAACCUACCCUUGAGUGGGGGAUAACUUCGGGAAACCGAGGCUAAUACCGCAUAAUACCUUCGGGUCAAAGGAGUAAUUCGCUUAAGGAGGGGGUCGCGGCUGAUUAGCUAGUUGGUAGGGUAAUGGCCUACCAAGGCAAUGAUCAGUAUCCGGCCUGAGAGGGCGCACGGACACACUGGAACUGAAACACGGUCCAGACUCCUACGGGAGGCAGCAGUGGGGAAUUUUGCACAAUGGGGGAAACCCUGAUGCAGCAACGCCGCGUGGAGGAUGAAGUCCCUUGGGAUGUAAACUCCUUUCGACCGGGACGAUAAUGACGGUACCGGUGGAAGAAGCCCCGGCUAACUCUGUGCCAGCAGCCGCGGUAAUACAGAGGGGGCAAGCGUUGUUCGGAGUUAUUGGGCGUAAAGGGUGCGUAGGCGGUGCGGUAAGUCUUCUGUGAAAUCUCCGGGCUCAACUCGGAGUCUGCAGGAGAAACUGCCGUGCUUGAGUACGGGAGAGGUGAGUGGACUUCCUGGU